rnacentral:lncRNA from 1 species
UCCUAUAAUGUUUUUCUAAUAGAGAUUUUGGAAAAAGCAAGUGAUGUUACUCGUAUAAAGGUACGAAUUAAUGUGAAGUGUUAUUAACAAAACUAUUGUAACAAAAUUAGGGUAUCGAUUAUCGAAUUAUAUUUUUGUAUGUAUUUAGUUUUUUUCUUCUCCGACGAUUUUUUUUGUUUUUUUUUUUCUUAUCUCUGAUUAUUUACACUGGUGACUCUACACUUCAAAAAUUCGAUAUGAUCUUUGCAUUUCAGGAUUUUGAUGAAGAUGAGCUUGAUUUUUAAGAAUACUCAAAUUUGAUGUAGAUGGAUAUGAAGCCACGUAUUUUUUAUAAGGUUUUUUACGACGAAUCUACCGGGUUAAUCAUAUCAAAUAGGAUAAUUCUAUCUACAUAAUUCAAUUUCUAACUACACGAUUGAAUGAGUGAUUCGAUAAGUCGACUACGUAAAUAAUUGUUCUUAUUAAUUUUUAAUGUUAUAUAAUACUAUUCAAUUAUUCUUAUUAGGUUACAAUUGAUGGAAAUUAUGAUAAUUAAUAAGUUAUAACUUAUAGAAACCAUAAGGGGAUUUUAAACACACCGGUAAAAAGUCAAAAUCGUUACGAUAGUAAAUUCAAUUAAAGUAAUAUUAAAAAAUAUAAUGAUUUAUAUCCAAAUGACACGGGUGUCUGUUUUUCAAAACUAUUUUCGUGUUCUUUUUUAAGUAACUUACAAAGUGGUCCUUGUGUUUUGAUUUGAUUUAUAGUUGUUUUCCUAAAUUUACAAAUUAGUAUGUUAUAUACCUGUAGUUUAAAA